rnacentral:lncRNA from 1 species
GGUUUUGGACCAGAUAGAUGAGUAUGGAAUCAGUAUUACUCUACCUAUUGUGAUUGAAAUGAAGACUACAGAGAACAGUGUCGUCAGCUCAAGGUCUGAAAUUUGGGGAAAAGUUGAUAUUUCUGUUUAGUUGAUUUGCUGUAUCAUUGAUAUAUAAUCAUCCUUUUUAUACGACCGCAAAAUUUGAAAAAUUUUUCGUCGAUAUUGCUAUCACGGCGUCGCGUCGUCGUCGUCGCGUCGUCGUCGUCGUCGUCGUCGUCGUCGGCGUCCGAAUACUUUUAGUAUUUCGCACUCUAACUUUAGUAAAAGUGAAUGGAAAUCUAUGAAAUUUGAACACAAGUUUAUGACCACAAAAGGAAGGUUGGUAUUGAUUUUGGGAGUUUUGGGUCCAACAUUUUAGGAAUUAGGGGCCAAAAAGGGCCCAAAUAAGCAUUUUCUUGGUUUUCGCACUAUAACUUUAGUUUAAGUUAAUAGAAAUCUAUGAAAUUUGACACAAGGUUUAUGACCAAAAAAAACGGUUGGGAUUGAUUUUGGGAGUUUAGGUUUCAACAGUUUAGGAAUUAGGGCCAAAAAAGGGCCCAAAUAAGCAUUAUUCUUGGUUUUUCGCACAAUAACUUUAGUUUAAGUAAAUAGAAAUCAAUGAAAUUAAACACAAUGUUAAUGACUACAAAAGGAAGGUUUGGUAUUGAUUUUGGGAGUUUUUAGGUCCCAACAGUUUUAGGAAUUAGGGGCCAAAAAGGGACCCAAAUAAGCAUUUUUUCUUGGUUUUCGCACCAUAACUUAGUAUAAAUAAAUAGAAAUCUAUGAAAUUUAAACACAAGGUUUAUGACCAUAAAAGGAAGGUUGGUAUUGAUUUUGGGAGUUUUGGUCCCAACAGAAUAAGGGGCCCAAAGGGUCCAAAAUUAAACUUUUUUUUUGUUUGAUUUCAUCAAAAUUGAAUAAUUGGGUUCUUUGAUAUGCGAAUCUAACUGUCAUGACUGUGUAUGUAGAUUCUUAACUUUGGUCCCGUUUUCAAAUUGGUCUACAUUAAGGUCCAAGGGUCCAAAAUUAAACUUAGUUUGAUUUUGGACAAAAAAUGAAUCAGUUAGGUUCUUUGAUAUGCUGAAUCUAAAAUUACUUAGAUUCUUGAUUAUUGGCCCAGUUUUCAAGUUGGUCCAAAUCGGGGUCCAAAAUUAACUUUGUUUGAUUUCAUCAAAAUUGAAUAAAUGGGUUCUUUGAUAUACCAAAUCUAACUGUGUAGUAGAUUCUCAUUUUUGGUCCUGUUUUCAAAUUGGUCUACACUAAAGUCCAAAGGGUCCAAAAUUAAACUUAGUCUGAUUUCAAAAAAAAUUGAAUCCUUGGGGUUCUUUGAUAUGCUGAAUCCAAAAAUGUACUUAGAUUUUUUUAUUAUGGGCCCAGUUUUCAAGUUGUCCAAAUCAGGAUCUAAAAUUAUUAUUAAGUAUUGUGAAUAGCAAGUCUUUUCAAUUGCACAGUAUUGCGCAAUGGCAAGAAAUAUCUAAUGCACAAUAUUGUGCAAUAGCAAAUUUUUUUUUUAAUUAGAGUUAUCUUUCUUUGUCCAGAAUAGUAAGCAAGAAAUAUCUAAUUGCAAAAUAUUGUGCAAUAGCAAGAUUUUUUUUAAUUGGAGUUAUCUUUCUUUGUCCAGAAUCAACUUAAAUCUUUGUUAUAUACAAUAUACAAUGUAUUAUUCACUUUUUACUACCAACUGAUAAAUUAAAAUAAUCUAACAUUCAGUGAUAACAAGCAGUUUUUUUUACAUCUUAAAUUUUAUGAUGUAUUUAAUGAGUAGUUAUUGUUGCAAACUCCAUUAGAAAUUUUAAUUGAAAUUAGUUUUGGAAUAAGGGAAAGGGGGAUGUGAUUAAAAAAUUGGGGGUAUUCAAUUGUUUCUCAAGUAGUUUUGAUGAAUUUAAGUCCAAUCGACUUCAAACUUAUACACAUUCCCUAUGAUAUGAUCUUUCUAUUUUAGUGCCAAAUUAGAGUUUUUACCCAAUUUCACGGUCCACUGAACAUGGAAAAUGAUAGUGCGAGUGGGGCAUUCGUGUACUAGGACACAUUCUUGUUUGAGAGGAUUAAUAUUCAACAGCAUAGUGAAUUGCUCUAAGAGAAAACAAAAAUUUUAAGUUCAUUAGAACACAUUCAUUCUGUGUCAGAAACUAUGCUGUUGUCAACUAUUUAAUCACAAUCCAAAUUUAGAGCUGAAUCCAGCUUGAAUGUUGUGUCCAUACUUGCCCCAACCGUUCAGGUUCAACCUCUGCGGUUAAAAGCUACGCCCUGCGGAGCAUCUGGUUUUAAUUCAUAUUUAGGAAGGACAAAUUAAUAGCAGAUAAUCAAAAACAAAAUUAAUGAGCAAUAUAACCUAGCAAAAUAUAAAGCUACCAUUUUAGUCUCCUCAAGAAAUUAGUCUCACCCAGUUAUCUCCCUUGAAUAUUUUAACCCAAUUUCAAUAUUUCAAGAGCAAAUUAUUUUUGGAACUUUCACUACUGUAAAUUCAGAAAUUAUUGUGUGCAUUUAUUAAUGCAAUUGUGUCAUUAAAAACUAAAAUGCAAUUUUAUUUAUUGCAAUAUUGAGAAAAAUUCUGUUUAAUUAAUAUAAAAAAUUUCAAAUUGAGUUUGAAUUAUUGCGAUUAUAACCUUGUUACAUUUUUCGCAAUACAUUGUAUAGUCGCCGUCAGCUAAAUUGUAGCGUUAUGUAAAAAAAUCAAACUAUCAACGCUUUCACUCGAAUAUAGUUUUUCACAUUCCAUUCAUAAAUCGCAAAAAGAAAAACCACUACUGACCAACCUUUUAAGUGAUCACACUGUAAUAAUCCUGACCUUCACAUUUUCCAGAAUAUUUUCCAUUGUAAUUCCCCAUCUUCGUUUCUAUGAGGAUCAUUGUUUACAUAUGACAUUCCACUGUAGCAGUCCUGAAAUGUUCCUUUCAUUGAUGUUAAGGUUCCCCGCGCUUUAUGCAAAUUUAUGAAAUUGAACUCCAGGAAACACUUCCGUAAAAACAAUGGCUGAUUCACCAUUCAAAAUCGUCUAUGAAAAAGUGAAGUCAGGGUUAUUACAGUGCGACACUUAAAAGGUAGGUCAGUAGUGUUUUUCUUUUUGCGAUUUAUGAAAUGGAAUGUGAAAAACUAUAUCUCAGUGAACCGAUUGAUAGUUUAGAUUAUUUUUACCGAUAACCGCUACGAAUUUCAGCUGACGGCGACUAUAAUAAAAACAUGGCUAUAACUUCUGAAUUAACAAAAAUUUUAUAAAAUAAAAAUGUGUAAUUAAAUCACCACAAUUAUUUGAAAAUUAAUUCUUCGCAAAUAUGAAUACAUCAACAAAGUAAAUAGCAAAAAAAAAAAAAAUGCUGCAAAGUCAGCUUGAAGGAGUUAAACAAAAUUAAAAAUGCAAUUCUUAUUUUGUUUACAGCAUUUGAUAUCAAAGAAAAUCAUGUUUUAAUUGAUACAUUUACAUCUUUCGCCUAUUAAAAGGCAAUGUUUGCAGAGUGGUCUAGAGGGUAAAUUGCAACAAUAAAUACAACAGAUUGUGAUUAUGACUUUUUGGCAUUAUUUAAAAAUGAUGUGGCAUGUUCAUUCUUUUGGAAAGUUAAGAUUUGUUCAGUUACUUGCUUCAGAUUGGUGGUUCACCUGGCCAUUCUACACCUACUAUUCUGAUUCAGAUUGGUGGUUCACCUGGCCAUUCUACACCUACUAUUCUGAUUCAUAUGAAAUAUUAUGAAUAUAAAACCACAACAAACAUAUCAUCAUUUGUCAAUAGUUUUACAGCUACUGUUUUAUUAGUUAAAAAUUUUUAACUUUUCUUAAACCUGGGAUGUUACAAAUUUUAAGGCAGAAGCUUUCAUGUUUUAUUUUUAUGAAAAAUGAAGUUAAAAAUUUAAUAUUUUAUUUUUAGGAAGCAGUGCCUUUUGCAGUUAUUGGAGCCAAUACAGUUAUAGAAGUUAAAGGUCGUAAGGUCAGAGGUCGUAUGUACCCAUGGGGUGUAGUUGAAGUAGAGAAUCCAGAACAUUGUGAUUUCAUCAAACUAAGGACCAUGCUCAUGUAAGUUGUAGAGGUUAAAGGUCGUAAGGUUAGAGGUUGUAUGUACCCAUAGGGUGUAGUUGAAGUAGAGAAUCCAGAACAUUGUGAUUUCAUCAAACUGAGGACCAUGCUCAUGUAAGUUGUAGAGAUAUAAAAUUCAAAAGGUCAGAGGUUAUUGAACUAAGUGGAAAUUUAAACCAUCUUUUAAGAGAGAUCAGGUGUCUACCCUGGCAGCCAUUGUACAAUGUUCUGAGUAAAAUUUGUUUAUUACUAAGCCAUUGCUUGAACAGUGUUGAAAUUUUUAUUUCAAAACUCUUUUCUAAAGACUGUUCUAAAGACUGUUUCAUGCUUUUAAAGUAAAAAGAGUAAUACAAAUUUAUGAUACUGAUUAGUGGACUUAUUUUGAAGUAGAUAUUACACUUUUACACUGACAGUUGAAAUUACAGGUGAGGACACAGAACCUUUUAUAAAUAGAAUAAAAUGUCAUGGUGGAAUUUAUGAAAGAAGUUACUUACAAUUAAAGAAACUUCACACGAGCUACUGCUACUGGUAGUAUAAAAGCUAUCUAUUAUUGCAUCCAAAAGUGAAUAAAAAUGUAGGAUUUAAUGAUUAUCAGGAUAUUUCUCUAUUUACAGUACACAUAUGCAGGACUUACAAGAAGUUACACAAGAAGUGCAUUAUGAGAACUUCAGAGCAGACAAACUUGCAGGAGGUGGUGGCCAGGCUGUGCCUAAGAAAGUCAGGUGUGUAUUUAACCCCUUAUUAUUUAUAUCAUCUAAGUCAGACUUUAUUUAUUAUCUGUUUUCUCCUAUUCUUCACUGUUGUUGUUGAGUUAUAGAUUCCUGCUAUCCAUUUAUUUUAUUUUUAUGCCCAUUGUGUGCUUUUCUUGUCAUUGUUAAUGAGGCCCCUCAUGGGGGGUCCUAGUAAUCACAUAAUCACCAUUUUUUUGCCAAUAUAAUCACAUAAUCAUUAAAUAUUUGCUUAUCUUUAGUAAUCAAAUAAUCAUAAACUAAAAAUACAGUCCUAGGUAAUCAAAUAAUCAUGAAAUAUUUGGCUUAAUAAUCAAAUAAUCAUUAAAAAAACGGCCAAGUAAUCACAUAAUCAAAAACCCCAUGAGGGCCCUCGUUAAUAAGGCCAGGAUCUCUGUGUUAUAAAAAGUGCGGAAAAACUAACUCCAUGCAAACAGAUUUUAGGUUUAUAUUGGAGUAACAACUUCUGUAUAGUGAUAUUCUUCUAAUGAUAUAUAUAUAGGAAUCUGUUUAGUAAUUGAUAUUAUGAAAAUAGAUGAAAAACCACAUGUUUUUUAAUGGGAGUUAACUCUUGAUUUACCCUAAAAAAAAUGAAAUAGUAGAAAACUUCAAUACUUUUUUCAGAUUAAGCAUCUAACAUUUUAGAUGAUAUUAAUAUUUAGGAACUAUUUCCACACAAAACUCACAGGGAGGAGGGGGUAAACAUUUUGUUAUCAAAAAUAUAAAAUAUGAUAGUGAAAAAUUUGAUAACUUGCACAAGUAAUAGACAGUGCUUAAUAUCAUGCAUAUUAUAUCCUCAUAUGAAAUGACACACAGAUAGUUUAUUAUGUGAAUAGCUUUCUGAAGAACAGAAUUGAAGAAAGAAUUUAAAAAGACAUCAAUUUAAUGUUCAUUGUAUCAUUUUAUCAUGUAUGUAACAUUCACACUUUACAGAGGAAGGCAGCGUGAAGAAGCUGUUGAGCAGGAGUAGGUCUCAUUUACAUAUUAUGCAUAUUCAUAAGUCAUUCAUGCAUGUCACUUUUAUUUUAAUCAUUCAAUUGUGUUAGUGUUAGAGGGACAUGUCAACUAUAACAGAUUAUUCAGAAUGAAAAGUUGCAUGAAUCCAUGAGUAACUUCCCUUCGAUAACAGACUGCAUGAAUUAAAAAAGUUUUCCUGCCCAAGCAAUUCAUUUCCAUGGUAACAGAUUUUUUCCUUUAUGCAAACUAAUAUUUCCUUAUUUUUACUAGAUUUGAGAUGAUUAAAAACUUUAAUUCACAUGUUUUGGAGGGAACAUGUGAAAGGUUUGUUUUAAGCCUAUAGGCUAUUAAGUUCAUAUACGAAAUGCCAGAAUAAAAAACCCAGGUGGUUGGCUUUGGGUUGUAUGAUAGCUCCAACUUUAACAGAAUAUUUCCAGCAAAGAAAUUGCAGGCUUUAUAAGUAUAAAUUUCCCUUGCAAAAAUUAAGCUUUUAUGGUAGCUAAAUUUUUUUUUGUUAACGUAAAACUGCUUUUCAUCAAAGAAACAAAAUAAAAAAAAUAAUCAGAAAAUGAAGCUUUUUCUACGCAGAUUAAUAAAGAUAAGAUAACAGCUUUUAGGCAACAAGAAAAUGAAGAAGAUAAAACAGAAUGCUAAAGAUUACUUAUUUCAUAACUAUUAUGGAGCCAAUUAAAACUACUUCUUUUAUUUACAUGAUUUUAUGUGGCAAAUCUAAAACUAUUCAUUCUAUAACCGAAAAAGACUCUUUUUUUUUUUGGACAAUCCACAAAAAUGAUAUUUUAAAAAUAAAAAGUUGUAGGUUAUAUUUUUGAUUUUCCCUUUGUUAUGAAUUUCAGAUAAUAUUGCAUGUGAAAUAAUUCCUUUAUUUUCACCUUUGAGACUUCCCUACCUUUGACUGGACCCUCACUUGUAUUAAAAAUUAAAUGAUGGGAUACGAUUGCCAAUGAGACAACAGACCUCUAGAAACUAAUAAGGUAGAAGUUAUAAACAAAAGCUCAUCAUAUGGCCUUCUACAAUGAGCAAAACACAUGCAUGGCAACCAACGAAAGAUUUGUGCUUUGACUAAUUGAUUUAGUCUGUCCCAUAUCAACCAUUAAUCAAUAUUUGGAUUUAUUCAAAACAUCUUCUUGCAUUACAACAAUUAAAAAAAAUGCACCAGUCUUUUCAAAAUGAUGAUUUUAUAUUUGACAGCAAUCAUCAAUAUACAUUACUCAUACGCCAAAAAUUGAAAUCGGCUAACAAAAAUUGAAUCCAACUAGGACCAGUAACAUACAAGGGUUUUUAUUAUCUGUUGCUUAUUAAUAAAAGUAUAACCAAUCGUUGUAUUUGAUUGUAAAAAUAAGAACACUUGUGACUAAAAGCCAAGAUGGAUAAAACUUGUGCUGGGCACAUUUAUAUCAUGCAUCUUUCAGUCACACCUUGUCUUAUUUUUUCUUAUUCAAAUACAGCGAUCAGUAUACUGUAAUUCACAGCAAGAUGGUAAAGGUUAUAAGGUUUUAAGGUGGUACCUAACACUUUCACUAAAAUUUAUUUGGCUCGUUUAAUUUUCAUAAAAUUUUGACAAAGUAUAUACUUUGACCCUUAAACAAAAAUAUAAAAAAUUCAAAAACUUUGAACCAAGCGUUUUAUCAGAAAAAUUACACUGGUUAUAUAGCAGCUUGACACACACCAAUUUUGAUCAUUGAGAAGCUUAAUAUUCCCUUUACAACACAACGUAAUUAAAACGUUAAGCUGACCUUA